CUUAGCUCAAUGGAUAGAGCACCGGUCUUCUAAACCGUAGGUUGCCGGUUCGAGUCCGGCAGG
rnacentral:tRNA from 1 species